UCUUGUUAAAAGGCAGAUUCU
rnacentral:miRNA from 6 species